rnacentral:lncRNA from 1 species
UUUCCUGAGAAAGGUUGUUUUUGAAUAAAUUCUAUGUAUUCGGGGUCUAUCUCAAAACUAGAUGCUAUGAUAGGCUUUGAAGAUUUUGGUGGUUCGAGAUGUGUGCCCAUAGGUCUAUGAAAUUCAUAGAUAGACAUGUUUGAAUUCAUAAUAGACCAGAGAUCAAGGAUUAGAUAAGGAGAAAGAAUAGCAGAGAUGAGGCAAAGGAUAAAAGGAAAAUAUUUUUAUUUAUUUAUUUAUUUUUUAUAAAAUGAUUAAACUAGUUCGUAGUCAACUCAGCAACCGUUUCCCCGGCAACGGCGCCAAAAAUGCUUGUUGACACUUGCUAACACCACUUGAAUACUAGGUUGUCAUCCCCAGCGUGGCACUAGAGUGUACUAUGGUAUUUAUACGCACACAGAUAAUCCGCAAGCGCACGGAUACCGUUGAAGCUUUUACCCGGUUAAAGGUUUUAUCGUAUCCACAGGGAAACGGGAGAACUGAUCUACGCUCUAACUUAACCAAGAUAAGUAGAUAGGUGUGAAUAGGAAAGAUGGUAGAAUUGAAUAAGAACAAUAUUAAAGGUAAGAUAACAGUGAGUGAUAAUAUGGGAAUAGAGAGUAGAGCAAUUCUAGUAUAUGGGCGAUGGUAGCAGAAUAGAGAGGAUAACUAUGGUUUCUCUACUUCAAAGGGGUAUGUCUAUGUCUGGGACGAACCACGUGAUAAUAGUACACCAUAAAGGAUGCUUAUCCAUAGGCCGAUAAACCCUAUCCGUCCUGCUAACGAGAGGUGGACUACAGGGACCAACGUAACUGUCACCUACACGGCCUACCACACGAUCCAGCUAGUCAGGGGAUAUCCACAAGUAAUC